AUUGAACGCUGGCGGCAUGCCUUACACAUGCAAGUCGAACGGUAACAGGUCUUCGGAUGCUGACGAGUGGCGAACGGGUGAGUAAUACAUCGGAACGUGCCCGAUAGUGGGGGAUAACUAGCCGAAAGCUGCGCUAAUACCGCAUACGAUCUAUGGAUGAAAGCGGGGGACCGUAAGGCCCCGCGCGAUUGGAGCGGCCGAUGUCAGAUUAGGUAGUUGGUGGGGUAAAGGCUCACCAAGCCGACGAUCUGUAGCUGGUCUGAGAGGACGACCAGCCACACUGGGACUGAGACACGGCCCAGACUCCUACGGGAGGCAGCAGUGGGGAAUUUUGGACAAUGGGCGCAAGCCUGAUCCAGCAAUGCCGCGUGCAGGAAGAAGGCCUUCGGGUUGUAAACUGCUUUUGUACGGAACGAAAAGGCUCUGGUUAAUACCUGGGGCUCAUGACGGUACCGUAAGAAUAAGCACCGGCUAACUACGUGCCAGCAGCCGCCGUAACAC
rnacentral:rRNA from 1 species